AAGUCUAACCUGCCCAAUGAGGAGUUUAAUGGCCGCAGUAUUUUGACUGUGCAAAGGUAGCAUAAUCAUUAGUUUCUUAAUUAGGAACUGGAAUGAAGGGUUGGACGAGAAAAUAACUGUCUCUUUUUAAAUUUUUUAGAAUUUUAUUUUUAAGUUAAAAAGCUUAAAUUUUUUUAAAAGACGAGAAGACCCUAUAGAGUUUUAUAUAAUUAUAGUUAAUAAUUUUAGUAGAAUCUUUAAAAUUUUAGUUUAUAUUAUAUUUAAUUGGGGUGAUUAAAAAAUUUAAUAAACUUUUUUUUUAUUAUUACAUUAAUUAAUGAAUUUUUGAUCCAUACUUUAUGAUUAAAAGAUUAAAUUACCUUAGGGAUAACAGCGUAAUUUCUUUGUAGAGUUCUAAUCGAUAAAGAAGUUUGCGACCUCGAUGUUGGAUUAAAAUUUAUUUUUGGUGUAGAAGCUAAAUUAUUAGGUCUGUUCGACCUUUAAAAUUUUACAUGAUCUGAGUUUAAACCGGUGUAAGCCAGGUUGGUUUCUAUCUUUAAAUUUUUAAAAUAUUUUAGUACGAAAGGACCAAAUAUUUGUAAUAUUUAU
rnacentral:rRNA from 1 species